rnacentral:rRNA from 1 species
AUACGGAGGGUGCAAGCGUUAUUCGGAAUCACUGGGCGUAAAGGGUGCGUAGGCGGUUUGAUAAGUCUGAUGUGAAAUCCUAUGGCUCAACCAUAGAACUGCAUUGGAAACUGUCAGACUAGAAUACUGAAGGGGCAGAUGGAAUUAGUGGUGUAGGGGUAAAAUCCGUAGAUAUCACUAGGAAUACCGAAAGCGAAAGCGAUCUGCUGGGAAGUUAUUGACGCUGAGGCACGAAAGCGUGGGGAACAAACGGGAUUAGAUACCCCAGUAGUCC